rnacentral:tRNA from 1 species
AUUUAUGUAGUUUAACAAAAACACUACAUUUUCACUGUAAAAAUAAAGAAAAAUUUCAUAAAUA